AAGGAAGAUCCCCAACGCACGUCUCACAUCGAGGCCUCUGUGUUCCGGAUCUGCUUGGAACAUGGCCGGAUCUACCCCGAUACCGGCCGCUUAAAUAAGCGCGGGACACCGCCGUCUUCGUUUCUCUUUCUUCUCGGACGUGUGGGGUGCGCUCGAUCAAGUCGCCACAAUGGCUGUCGUCGGCCCUUUUCAAAGGGCCCGUAGCUCAGGUGGUUAGAGCGCACGCCUGAUAAGCGUGAGGUCGGUGGUUCGAGUCCACCCGGGCCCACCAUUUCCUGCCGACCCGAAUUCGGGGCCAUAGCUCAGUUGGGAGAGCGCCUGCUUUGCAAGCAGGAGGUCGUCGGUUCGAUCCCGUCUGGCUCCACCAAGGCCAGGCGCGCGGAUCGCCCAUCAAGACCCUAUGGCACGGCAUCGUCCGAGAGAUAAAAGUUUCGCGUCUGCGGCAUCGCCGCGGCGCGUGUUCCUGAACAUCGUGAAGAGAAGGUUUGUCCGAGUGCGCCCAUCCGGGUGCAUGUCGCACGGACGCUGGUGCUUGACCGCACCGGUAUCGGGCAAAACCUCGUGUAAAACAAACUGGUCUUUCUGACCAUGUUCGGUUGGCCCCUCGGGGUCAAACGGGCAUUGGAAAUGAGAGUGAUCAAGUGUCUUAAGGGCAUUCGGUGGAUGCCUUGGCGCUGAGAGGCGAUGAAAGGGACCGUGG
rnacentral:misc_RNA from 1 species